GACGUAGGGCGCGAGCGUUGUCCGGAUUUAUUGGGCGUAAAGAGCUCGUAGGCGGCUUGUCGCGUCGUCCGUGAAAACUUGGGGCUCAACCCCAAGCUUGCGGUCGAUACGGGCAGGCUAGAGUUCGGUAGGGGAGACUGGAAUUCCUGGUGUAGCGGUGAAAUGCGCAGAUAUCAGGAGGAACACCGGUAGCGAAGGCGGGUCUCUGGGCCGAUACUGACGCUGAGGAGCGAAAGCGUGGGGAGCGAACAGG
rnacentral:rRNA from 1 species